AUGCUCGCGGUGUUCGACAGGGCGGUGGCGCCGAGCCCGGAGGGGCUGCCGCAGCCGGGCGAUUCCGGGCACGGCGCGGACGGGCUCGCGGCCCGGUUCCGGGAGUCCCGCCCCGGCGCGGUCACCGUCGACUUCGGCGGCGGCGGCGCCAUGGCCUACUCUCCCCACGGCCAGAGCCCCUUCCUCCCCAGGUUGUUCGGCGUCGUCGACGACAUAUUCUGCUUGCUCCAAGGCGCGAUCGAGAACAUGGCUGUGCUGAAGCAGCAGUACGGGUUGAGCAAAAGUGCUACUGAGCUCAACCUCGUCAUCGAGGCCUACAGAACCCUGAGGGACAGGGGACCUUACCCUGCAGACCAGGUCGUGAGGGACUUCAAUGGCAAAUUCGCGUUUGUGCUGUAUGAUCGCUCAACCAGCUCGGUCUUCAUGGCUGCUGAUGCUGAUGGUGGCGUCCCAUUUUACUGGGGAGUUGAUUCGGAGGGUCAUCUUGUAGUGUCCGACGACGACGAAGUUGUGAAGAACGCUUGUGGAAAAUCUUUCGCGACAUUCCCCAAAGGUUUCUUCUUCACGACAUCCGGGGGACUGCAGAGCUACGAGCAUCCUCUGAACGAGGUGAAGCCGGUGCCGAGGGUCGAUAGCAAAGGGGAGGUAUGCGGCACAACUUACGCGGUCGAUGAACAGGCCAAGAAAGAUACCGCCGGCAUUCCCCGUGUUGGCAGCGCUGCAGAUUGGUCUUCCCAGUACUGA
rnacentral:rRNA from 1 species